GGAUUGCCCUAGUAACGGCGAGUGAAGCGGCAACAGCUCAAAUUUGAAAUCUGGCCCCUCCGGGGUCCGAGUUGUAAUUUGCAGAGGGUGCUUCGGCGUUGGCCCCGGGUCAAGUCCCCUGGAACGGGGCGCCCUAGAGGGUGAGAACCCCGUACCCACCCGGGUGCCCUUCGCCGUGUGAAGCCCCUUCGACGAGUCGAGUUGUUUGGGAAUGCAGCUCUAAGCGGGAGGUAAAUUUCUUCUAAAGCUAAAUACCGGCCAGAGACCGAUAGCGCACAAGUAGAGUGAUCGAAAGAUGAAAAGCACUUUGGAAAGAGAGUUAAAAAGCACGUGAAAUUGUUGAAAGGGAAGCUCUUGCCGCCAGACUUGCCACGGUUGCUCAGCCGCCCCCCGGGGCGGUGUACUCUUCCGUCGGCAGGCCAGCGUCGGUUCGGGCGGCCGGACAAAGGCCCUGGGAAUGUAGCACCCCUCGGGGUGUGUUAUAGCCCGGGGCGUAAUGCGGUCAGCCCGGUCCGAGGCACGCGUUCGCGAGGACGCUGGCGUAAUGGUUGCAAGCGACCCGUCUUGAAACACGGACCAAGGAGUCUAACAUCUGUGCGAGUGUUUGGGCGUCAAACCCAUGCGCGUAAUGAAAGUGAACGGAGGUGGGAACCCCCUCGAGGGGCGCACCAUCGACCGAUCCUGAUGUCUUCGGAUGGAUUUGAGUAAGAGCAUAGCUGUUGGGACCCGAAAGAUGGUGAACUAUUCCCGGAUAGGGUGAAGCCAGAGGAAACUCUGGUGGAGGCUCGCAGCGGUUCUGACGUGCAAAUCGAUCGUCAAAUCUAGGAAUAGGGGCGAAAGACUAAUCGAACCAU
rnacentral:rRNA from 1 species